GAAGCUUUUCUUCACUCUUUCCUGGGCACAGUCCUGUUCUCCCGGGAGCUGCAAUAAUUCUAAUGCGAAAGCGGCAGCUCACAUUUCUGAAGCAAUGUGUCUUUCCCUCCUAUCAAAUUAACAUUUUCUCCCGUUACUGCACCCCUCCGGAAGAAUGUUUAUAAUUGGCUCUUUCAGGUCUGCUCAUCCAACAGCGAUACAACAGCUGGUGCUCGAUGAUCAGUCAUGUCUCUGGGAAGGUGACUGGCACACAGGCACGCUCACUGGCAUUUUUGGGGAACACCGUUCUGCCAGGCGGAUGGUUGCACUCCAACUGGAUGCUCUGGUGUGGGGCUGAAGAGUUGUGCAUCGUUUUCCCCAUCUGGAUGAAGUUACUCGCACACGGACAGGGUGUAAUCAGCCUGGGACUGAUGCAGAUCGCUACAAUCUGAAUACUCACCAGUACUAAGGACCUAGGGAAUCAGUCUGUUCAUGGAAAACCAAGCUCCUUGGAGACUGAAGGUGGAGAAGAAGCAGUACACCAUUUAGCUGGAAAAAGCAAAGGACGGUUUAUUGGAAGAACUGCAAAAGAGGGGAUGAUCUGAUCUAGGAGAAGAGCGUGGAGCAUAUGGACGAGGAAGAACAGUGUGUGAAGAACGUGGCUCGUCUGCUUUUAAGGAGAGGUUGGACCCAGAGAGAUGCUCCCGCACCGUACGGAAUUAGCAGUGCAAUACCAGUGCAAUCAGGAUCUCUCAGCCUUGCCUUUCAGCCCGGUUCUAGAGGUGCAACACACUCAGAAAGUAAGAUUUUUUUUCCUUUGCUUCUCUGACAGCAGCUUGAAGUUCUCCUGCAGAGGGAUCCCAGCACUAUUUAGCAUCGAUAAAUUAAGUUUUCCUGGCCAGCAUGUCCCUGUGCUGAAGGUUUUGCUUGGCUGGGAGAUGCUGGUGCUGCCUUUCAUCAAAGGCCGUCUCACACCCUGGCAAGUCCCUGCGUUCGGAGCUUGCUUCCGAACGUGGCAGGAGAGGAUGAUGCUACUUUUUGGAGCAAAGCAAGUAGGAACAGCGGUGGCUAACAUCCAAAGCCCUUGCGCGGAGGUGAACUGCCUCAAUUUAUUGGUAUUCCCAUCCUGAACAGAAAGAAUGAGUUUGCACAAACACAGCUAAAAUUCCCAGGAGGCAAAAACUUCCAAUGGGUAUAAGCAGGCAAUUAUUUAUAAAAUUCCAGUAGCAAUGUGAGAACUCAGCAUUUAAAUCAAAAAGGGGAUG